rnacentral:rRNA from 1 species
GAUGAACGCUGGCGGCGUGCCUAAUACAUGCAAGUCGAGCGAACGGACGAGAAGCUUGCUUCUCUGAUGUUAGCGGCGGACGGGUGAGUAACACGUGGAUAACCUACCUAUAAGACUGGGAUAACUUCGGGAAACCGGAGCUAAUACCGGAUGAUAUUUUGAACCGCAUGGUUCAAAAGUGAAAGACGGUCUUGCUGUCACUUAUAGAUGGAUCCGCGCUGCAUUAGCUAGUUGGUAAGGUAACGGCUUACCAAGGCAACGAUGCAUAGCCGACCUGAGAGGGUGAUCGGCCACACUGGAACUGAGACACGGUCCAGACUCCUACGGGAGGCAGCAGUAGGGAAUCUUCCGCAAUGGGCGAAAGCCUGACGGAGCAACGCCGCGUGAGUGAUGAAGGUCUUCGGAUCGUAAAGCUCUGUUAUUAGGGAAGAACAUAUGUGUAAGUAACUGUGCACAUCUUGACGGUACCUAAACAGAAAGCCACGGCUAACUACGUG